rnacentral:tRNA from 1 species
GGAGAGAUGGCUGAGCGGUUUAAAGCGGUAGACUGUAAAUCUAUUAAUUAAGUAUUUUCGUAGGUUCAAAUCCUACUCUCUUCA